GACGAGCCACACGAACGUUAUUCGGAAUUACUGGGCUUAAAGGGCGCGUAGGCGGCUUCCCAAGUCCGGGGUGAAAUCUUUCGGCUUAACCGGAAAAGUGCCUUGGAUACUGGGAGGCUCGAGGGAGGUAGGGGCAAGCGGAACUUCCGGUGGAGCGGUGAAAUGCGUUGAUAUCGGAAGGAACGCCGGCGGCGAAAGCGGCUUGCUGGACCUCAUCUGACGCUGAUGCGCGAAAGCUAGGGGAGCGAACGGG
rnacentral:rRNA from 1 species